AAAGCACACAUAAGUUAUUGUUUCAUCAUCUUUUUAUAUCUCUCCUCGCAAAAUUUCAUGAGAGUAAACUCACAAGUUCAUAGACAGGGAGAUUGGUGUAUAGCGAACCAUGUUACGGAUAAUGGAAGAUUACAAAAGAACAUAGAUUUUGCAUGUUCUAUAAUAGAUUGUGGAAUUAUAUUGCUCAAGGAAGACACCAAAGGGAUUGCUACUUCGAAGGCUCUGGUCUCAU